rnacentral:rRNA from 1 species
AUUGAACGCUGGCGGCAUGCCUUACGCAUGCAAGUCGAACGGCAGCACGGGAGCAAUCCUGGUGGCGAGUGGCGAACGGGUGAGUAAUGUAUCGGAACGUGCCCAGUCGUGGGGGAUAACGUAGCGAAAGCUACGCUAAUACCGCAUACGAUCUGUGGAUGAAAGCGGGGGACCGUAAGGCCUCGCGCGAUUGGAGCGGCCGAUAUCAGAUUAGGUAGUUGGUGGGGUAAAGGCCUACCAAGCCGACGAUCUGUAGCUGGUCUGAGAGGACGAGCAGCCACACUGGGACUGAGACACGGCCCAGACUCCUACGGGAGGCAGAAGUGGGGAAUUUUGGACAAUGGGCGCAAGCCUGAUCCAGCAAUGCCGCGUGCAGGAUGAAGGCAUUCGGGUUGUAAACUGCUUUUGUACGGAGCGAAAAGGCUCUCUCUAAUACAGGGGGCUCAUGACGGUACCGUAAGAAUAAGCACCGGCUAACUACGUGCCAGCCGCCGCCGUAA